AUGAUGGAGGACGGACUGUAUCUUGACCAUCUUCGCUUUAGCCUGUCCCGCAUCCUUUCUUCUUUCGGGACGGCACCUUGGACUUUCCUUGGUGGGGGGGGACCUCCCGUGUCUUGCUUUUGGUUCACGAGGUUCAGGCAGGCUUGGCUUCAGCCUGGGCACCAGGCCAGGAAGCUAUGGCCCAGGGAGCAGCCACACUCAUAUCCUCUUGAGCUCACCUUUGUGUGCAAAGCCAUUUAUUUAUUUAUUUGUUUGUUUGUUUAUUUAUUUAUUUAUUUAUUUUUGUGCCUCAAGACACUUAUUUAUUGGGGACACAACUCUGCGACAGGGUUUUUUAUUUUUAUUUUAUUUUUAACUUUUUUUUCAGAAGGCAAAAUUUUUCUUCUUUCUUUUUUUCCAGAAAGCAGAAUUAAUGCAGGACUCAACCUUUACACACGGGGACUCGACCAAACAGUCCCGGCUAUGGAAGAUCUGGAGCUGGUACAGCUGUUCUCCUGGGCACCAUAUGAGUUUGCUGGGGCUGCCAUCACAAAGUACUAGGGACCGGGCAACUUCCACACCAGAUAUUUAUUUUCUCACAAUUCUGGAGGCUAGAAGUUUGAACCAAAGUCUUGGCAGGAUUGUUUUUUCUUUUUUUCUUUUUUUUCGGAGGCCUCUCUCUUUGCCUUGUAGAUGGCUGUCCUCUCCGUGUCCUCGCGUGAUCCUCCCUCUGUCUCUGUCCUAAUCUCCUCUUCUUCUAAGGACACCAGUCCUAUUGAAUCAGGGUCCCCCCUAAUGACCUCCUUUAACUCAAUUAGCUCUUUAAAGACCUAUUUCCAAAUACAGUCACAUUCUGAGGUCCUGGGGGUUAGUUAGGGCUCCCACGUGUGAAUUCAGGAGUGGGGGGAACAAGUCAGCCCAUCACGGGCAACAGGCGGGUGAUCUCUAUCAUGGAAUGAACAGAACCCGUCUCUCUGAACAACUGUCUUGACUGGUCCCAGAGGUGGAAGGUCCAGGGACUGUUGGGGUGAUGGGCAGGGGGCGGGGGGCGGGGGGAGUCGCUAAGCCUCAGAGCACCAAAUGCUUCUCUUAUUCCUCCAGCCCAAGUGCCUCAUUGGGUCACAGCCCAGCCCCAGGCACCCCAGAAUUUUUCAAGGCUCCUCAUUACCUACAGCAGAGCCCUGACUCUCUCCACCUGGUGUUCAGGUCUUUUGGUGGUUUAUUCCCCCUCUCCUCUUGAUGCCCUAACACCCUUGUGUAGCGUCCAGCCCCCAUGCUUUUUGUGCAAGUCCGUCACCCACCAGGUCUUUUGCCUCCCCCUCAGUUCCUCCAAAUUCUCCCAGUAUUUUAAGCCCCAGGUCAAAUGUUACCUCUUCCAGGAAGCCUUCCUGGGCUACCCUUGAAAUCUCGUAGGGCCUAAUAGAAGAUUUAUCCACUGCCAAUAUCUGGAGGGCUUGGCAUAGUUAACAUAACCCUCCCGUCAGCCCUACAGUGCAGAUUCCUUUUUCCCAAACCCAUUUUGCAGAUGAGGAAAUGGAGGUGUAGCAAGAUUAAUCCCUGACCUGGUAUUACAGGAGAGGCUGAGCGGAGGACCUGGCGCGCGAACCCCACGAUCUGUGCUCCUAUCCCCUACUCUCUGGUUGGUGAGUGUCUCCGUGAUGGAUGGGCUGACCUUCCUUGCCUGGGUGGCCCUGGCACGAUGCCUCCUCCAGGGUGCAGGAAGCUGGGCAGACACGGGGAGAGGGAGGGAUGAAGGGCGCCAGGGCGGAGGAAGGAGGGUGGCGGGCAGCAAGAGGCUAGGGCGAGAUUGAUCAUCUGCAGAGCUCUGGGUCCGUGUGGCCACGUGGCCGGUGGCUUUUGUGGAGAUACGUCGCGUUGCAGACUCAGCACUUGGCUGGCUUCCUGUCACUGCCGCUGCCCCAGCCUCUGCCAGGAAAAGGGCCUAGUGGGGCCUGGUGCUGCGGGGUAACCCAGGCCGGGUCCUCUGGAGCCUCUGUCGGGCAGCGUGGCUUUCUCCUCCGCGGCGGGGAGGGCGGUGAUCUGUGGCCCGAUGGACUUGGGUUCAAGUUCUGGCUCUGCCGCCUCCUGGGUGCCUUUGGAGUGCCCUUUGACCUCCCUGUGCUCCUCCAUGCUCUACUUUGUCACACCUUUCUCGGGGCGGGGGGGCUGUGUCAGCUCAUGCGGGCGUCCUGGAGGCCGGUGCCGACGUCAUAAGUGGCCAGCGAGUGAGACCCAGAGUAAUAGUAAUGAUGGUGGCAAGGGGGGCACAGGCUUUGCCAUCACGCUUGCAUGGGUUCGCCUUCCAGCUUUGGGAAUUCCAGACUGCGGGCAAGUUAUUCUGUGUCUGUGGGCCUCAAUGUUCUGAUCUGGGCAAUGGGUACAGUGGGGGUGUUUCCCUUUUCGGAGGCCCGAGAAGGUGAAGGCCGUGAUGCCCGGAGUGCGUCCGAUGACAUGGCCAGCAGCAGUGGCGCAGAUGGCGUGAGGGUAACUAGCCCGUUGACUUUCAGAGAGAGAGUGUCCCUGUGGGCUCAGUGUAACCCAUGGGGUCCUGAGACUCGGAAAGGGGGGGGCCGGAGAGGAAGAGGCGGGGAGACGGCAGUGGGAGGGCUCCGCCUGCCUUCCCUGCCUGUGAAGAUGGAGGGAGGGGCCAGGGCCCAAGGAACCUGGGCGCCCCUGGAAGCUGGACGGGUGUCCCCUGGGGCCUCCAGAAGGACCAGCCCUGUGGACCCUUUGGCUUCAGGGCCCCCCCGAGCCGUGUCUCGCUUCCAACCUCCAGAAGCGUAGGGUAGUAAAUUUUACUGCUGUUCUUUUAUUAAGAGCAUCAUACGUUGUGGUAGUUUGUUACAGGAGCUGCAGGAAAGGAAUCCGGGCAUUGAGGGCCCGGCGGUGUCCUCUGUGCUCUGCCCCCUUCCGUCCCCCCUGUCCUUCCUCACCUGCCCCCGGCUGCCCUAUGGAGCAGGUGGAGGGCCGGCGCUCUGUCAAAGACUACAUUUCCCAGGCUCCUUUGCAUCUAGCUGUCCAGGUGUGGCUGUGUGAUGGGGUGGGGUGGAGGCGGGGUGGGGGUUCCUGGGAAGGUCCCUUGAAGGAGACAGUCCUCUCUGGAGAGAGCCUUUGUCCUUCCACCCUUCUUCCUUCCUGGGGCUGGAGCAAGGGUGUGAUGGUCACUUUUGGCAAUCAUUUGGCAGUAGCUGAAUAUAUCAUCCCUGAAUUAAUAGAAGUAAGCCAUACAUAUAUAGGAGAGAAGAAUGGGGAGGGGUGAUAGGAGAGGGGGAGAGAGAGAGAGAAUCUUAAGCAGGCUCCACGCUCAGCACAGAGCCCAAUGCAGGGCUCGAUCUCACACCCCUGAGAUCGUGACCUGAGUCGAAAUCAAGAGUCAGAUGCUUAAUGGACUGAGCCACCCAGGCGCCCCAAGCCAUCUGUUUACUUAACAAGCAUCGAAUGAUCACUUGUUGUGCGCCACUGAGAGCACGUGAACAAAACAGAUAAAAAUUUCUGCUCUUGGGGAGCUGACACUUGGAGCAGGUGAUGAACAAAUACAGAGUCAGGAUGUAUUAAGAGCUAGGGAGAGAAAAAGGGAAAGGGUAUCAGAGAGAGAGCGCAGAAGCAUCAAUCAGCCUGGUUCUUGGGAGAGGUGCUUUUUGGGGACGCCUGGGUGGCUCGGCCGUGGACGGCUGCCUUCGGCUCAGGGUGUGGUCUCAGGAUCCGAGAUCGGGUCCCCAAUCGGGCCUGCUUCUCCCUCUGCCUGUGUCUCUGCCUCUCUCUCUCUCUCUCUCUCUCUCUCUCUCUGUCUCUCAUGAAUAAAUAAAUUAAAUCUUUUUUUUUUAAAGGUGCU
rnacentral:lncRNA from 12 species